UGUGCGCGGUCCACGGUGGACCUCCCUCUUAUUAUAUAUAUAAAUAAAUAUAUAAAUAUAUGUAUAUAUAUAAUUUUAUAUAUAUAUAUAUAUAUAUUUAUAUAGCAUUUUAUUUAUAUAAUAGAAAUAUUAUUAUAUAAUAUUUUAUUUAUAAUUUUUUAAUUAUUUAUUGAUAUUUUUAAAUAUAUAACUCUUAUAUAUUAUUAAUAUAUAUUUAUUAUAAUUUUAAAUAUAUUUAAUCUAUAUAUAAAAAUUAUAAUAAUAAUAUAUAUAGUAUUAAUUAUUAUAUAUUUAUUAUAUAGCUGAAUUUUUUAUUCCGAAAUUUUAAUUGGUGAACGUAUAAUAUCCGUAUAAAUCACGUAUCUGAAAUAAUUGCCGAAUUCAUUUUUUAGCCGUAUUUUUCAACUAAUUUAAAAAUUAAAAGACGAAUUAUAUCUGUACCGAAUUUUUACCGAAUCCGAAUUAACUAACUAUACCUCUAGCCGAAUCCGAAUCCGAAUUAGCUGAAUUUUUUAUCCCGAAAUUUUAAUUGGUGAACGUAUAAUAUCCGUAUAUCUGAAAUAAUUGCCGAAUUCGUUUUUUAGCCAUAUUUUUCAACUAAUUUAAAAAUUAAAAGACGAAUUAUAUCUGUACCGAAUUUUUACCGAAUCCGAAUUAACUAACUAUACCUCUAGCCGAAUCCGAAUCCGAAUUAGCUGAAUUUUUUAUCCCGAAAUUUUAAUUGGUGAACGUAUAAUAUCCGUAUAAAUCACGUAUCUGAAAUAAUUGCCGAAUUCGUUUUUUAGCCGUAUUUUUCAACUAAUUUAAAAAUUAAAAGACGAAUUAUAUCUGUACCGAAUUUUUACCGAAUCUGAAUUAACUAACUAUACCUCUAACCACCAAGGUUCGUUUAGCUGCGAUCGAUCUCAUCUGUUCAUCUGCUCGCUCCCGACGUGCUUUAUUAAUUAAUUGAUAUUUGAAGGGCAAAUUAGAAAAGUAUUUGCUAUAUGAAAGGUAUAUAAGAAAAGUUAGUUACGGUACAAGGGUAUAUUGAAAUGGGCAAAAUGGUAAUUUUCCAGAGAUAACGGUAGCUCACUGACGGAACUUAACUACAGGGGUAUAUUAGAAAGACUUGGAACAUAAGAAGGGUAUUUUCAAUAUUAGCCUUCUAAGAGGGGUAAAUAAGAAAACCGGAAACUUUUCAGGGGUAUAUAGGCAAUUGCCCCAACAAUUAUAUAUCUGUUAGGAUUGACCUUUAUUUAUAGCAAAUCCAUAUUUGAAUAUGAUUAAUUGUGCCACAAUCUCUCACUUGACCCAUAUUAGCAUAUUCCGUAUAGGGAUAUAUUAUAUUCCAAACUUUAUAGUCAAAUAUCUUAAAACUUACUUAAUACUUAACUCAAACUAAAGGACUACAAUGACAGGAACUAUGGCGGUCCACCUCUUCAUAACGAAAUUUUCCUUCCAUAAUUACCGUAUCAUCUUCACCUCUUAGCCGAGUACUUUAUAUGGCACAACUUUAUAAUGAACUAAAAACUAUAUAUCCAUUUUCAAAUGAGGCAAAAUUUUAUGUCUACAAAUGGUCCAUCACACCUCUAUCAAAACUAUAAUUUUUUUUGGAAGAAGAUAAAAUGUUAUAAAAUCUUACAUAUCAAAAGAACUAAUCAGACCGAUACUACUAACAUGAUCUAUAUAUGACUCAAGUGUUAGUCCCUUAGUCAUUAGGUCUGUUAUCAUAUACUUGUUACUAAUGUAUUCAAUCAUAAUAUAACAUUCCUCUAUUUUCUCUUUCACAACAAGAUAUUUGGUAUCUAAGUGUUUAUAUCCCGUUGUUAUCUUAUUGUUAUUGGCGAAG
rnacentral:lncRNA from 1 species